GUCAGGCGGGGCCACC
rnacentral:rRNA from 1 species